GGAUGAGGGAUGGGCAUGCGUCUGAUUAGCUAGUUGGUGAGGUAACGGCUCACCAAGGCGACGAUCAGUAGCUGGUCUGAGAGGAUGAUCAGCCACACUGGCACUGAGACACGGACCAGACUCCUACGGGAGGCAGCAGUAAGGAAUAUUGGUCAAUGGUCGAAAGACUGAACCAGCCACGCCGCGUGGAGGAAGACGGUCCUCUGGAUUGUAAACUCCUUUCGCCGAGGGAUAAAAAGGGGCUAUACGCCCACUUGAAGGUACUCGGUGAAUAAGCCACGGCUAACUACGUGCCAGCAGCCGCGGUAAUACGUAGGUGGCAAGCGUUGUCCGGAUUUAUUGGGUUUAAAGGGUGCGUAGGCGGUUAAUUAAGUCAGUCGUUAAAGGCAGCAGCUUAACUGUUGUAAGGCGAUUGAUACUGAUUGACUUGAAUUCUUUAGAGGUAGCUGGAAUACGUAGUGUAGAGGUGAAAUUCAUAGAUAUUACGUAGAACACCGAUUGCGGAGGCAUGUUACUAUAAAGAGAUUGACGCUGAGGCACGAAAGCGUGGGGAGCAAACAGGAUUAGAUACCCUGGUAGUCCACGCUGUAAACGAUGAUAACUAGAUGUUCGGCAUUUAUGCUGAGUGUUUAAGCGAAAGCGAUAAGUUAUCCACCUGGGGAGUACGACCGCAAGGUUGAAACUCAAAGGAAUUGACGGGGGCCCGCACAAGCGGUGGAGCAUGUGGUUUAAUUCGAUGAUACGCGAGGAACCUUACCUAGGCUCUAAUGUAUGACAACGUAGAUUGAAAGGUUUAUUUCCGCAAGGAUGGCAUACAAGGUGCUGCAUGGUUGUCGUCAGCUCGUGCCGUGAGGUGUUGGGUUAAGUCCCGCAACGAGCGCAACCCCUAUUCUUAGUUGCCAACAGGUCAUGCUGGGGACUCUAAGGAGACUGCCUUCGCAAGGAGCGAGGAAGGUGGGGAUGACGUCAAAUCAUCAUGGCCCUUACGCCUAGGGCUACACACGUGCUACAAUGGACAGUACAGAGGGUUGCAAGCUAGUGAUAGUAAGCUAAUCUCAGAAAGCUGUUCUCAGUUCGGAUCGGAGUCUGCAACUCGACUCCAUGAAGCUGGAAUCGCUAGUAAUCGCGGAUCAGCCAUGCCGCGGUGAAUACGUUCCCGGGCCUUGUACACACCGCCCGUCAAGCCAUGGAAGCUGGGGGUACCUGAAGUCGGUGGUCGCAAGACGCUGCCUAGGGUAAAACUGGUGACUGGGGCUAAGUCGUAACAAGGUA
rnacentral:rRNA from 1 species